rnacentral:ncRNA from 1 species
UAAAUAAAUGGGCAAAGCCGAUGAAAAUUGGUGACGCAAAGCUUUAGUCUAAGGCGGUACUAAUAAGUGUUCCGCUAAGAUUGUCAGGUUGCAAUU